rnacentral:ncRNA from 1 species
CAACAAGCGAAGAUUGGAAAUAGUAGAAGGACAAUAAGCUUUCAGAGAGCUGAUGGUUGGUGAGAGUCAGCACUUAUUUCCUUUGAACUCAUCCAAGAGCUGCACCCUGAACACCGGUAUGGGCUAAGUAGGGGGAGCCGGAAUUCUGCCGUUAUACAGAUAGGCGGUGAUAGCCGCCGAAACAGAGUGGAUUAAUGACGGAUUGAUUAAUCAAUUAGAGUGGUACCGCGAGCAAAGCCUCGUCUCUAUA